rnacentral:rRNA from 1 species
CAGCAGCCGCGGUAAUACGGAGGGUGCAAGCGUUAUCCGGAUUUAUUGGGUUUAAAGGGUCCGUAGGCGGACUUAUAAGUCAGUGGUGAAAGCCUGUCGCUUAACGAUAGAACUGCCAUUGAUACUGUAAGUCUUGAGUAUAUUUGAGGUAGCUGGAAUAAGUAGUGUAGCGGUGAAAUGCAUAGAUAUUACUUAGAACACCAAUUGCGAAGGCAGGUUACCAAGAUAUAACUGACGCUGAGGGACGAAAGCGUGGGUAGCGAACAGGAUUAGAUCCCCCGUAGUCCCUGUCUCUUAUACA